rnacentral:rRNA from 1 species
GACGAACGCUGGCGGCGUGCUUAACACAUGCAAGUCGAACGGAAAGGCCCUGCUUUUGUGGGGUGCUCGAGUGGCGAACGGGUGAGUAACACGUGAGUAACCUGCCCUUGACUUUGGGAUAACUUCAGGAAACUGGGGCUAAUACCGGAUAGGAGCUCCUGCUGCAGGGUGGGGGUUGGAAAGUUUCGGCGGUUGGGGAUGGACUCGCGGCUUAUCAGCUUGUUGGUGGGGUAGUGGCUUACCAAGGCUUUGACGGGUAGCCGGACUGAGAGGGUGACCGGCCACAUUGGGACUGAGAUACGGCCCAGACUCCUACGGGAGGCAGCAGUGGGGAAUAUUGCACAAUGGGCGGAAGCCUGAUGCAGCAACGCCGCGUGCGGGAUGACGGCCUUCGGGUUGUAAACCGCUUUCGCCUGUGACGAAGCGUGAGUGACGGUAAUGGGUAAAGAAGCACCGGCUAACUACGUG